rnacentral:rRNA from 1 species
AGCGAACGCUGGCGGCGUACUUAACACAUGCAAGUCGAACGGGGAUCGACACGUGAGCAAUCACGUGGCGGUCUUAGUGGCGUACGGGUGAGUAACACGUGGGCAACCUGCCCUUGAGUCUGGGAUAACCUCCCGAAAGGGAGGCUAAUACCGGAUACGGUCCUCGGGUCGCGAGACCUGAGGAAGAAAGGUGGCGCAAGCUACCGCUCUUGGAGGGACUCGCGGCCUAUCAGCUAGNGGUGAGGUAACGGCUCACCAAGGCUAUGACGGGUAGCUGGUCUGAGAGGACGACCAG